rnacentral:rRNA from 1 species
CCUACGGGAGGCAGCAGUGGGGAAUAUUGCACAAUGGGCGAAAGCCUGAUGCAGCGACGCCGCGUGAGGGAUGACGGCCUUCGGGUUGUAAACCUCUUUCAGCAGGGAAGAAGCGAGAGUGACGGUACCUGCAGAAGAAGCGCCGGCUAACUACGUGCCAGCAGCCGCGGUAAUACGUAGGGCGCAAGCGUUGUCCGGAAUUAUUGGGCGUAAAGAGCUCGUAGGCGGCUUGUUGCGUCGGUUGUGAAAGCCCGGGGCUUAACCCCGGGUCUGCAGUCGAUACGGGCAGGCUAGAGUGUGGUAGGGGAGAUCGGAAUUCCUGGUGUAGCGGUGAAAUGCGCAGAUAUCAGGAGGAACACCGGUGGCGAAGGCGGAUCUCUGGGCCAUUACUGACGCUGAGGAGCGAAAGCGUGGGGAGCGAACAGGAUUAGAUACCCUGGUAGUCCACGCCGUAAACGUUGGGAACUAGGUGUUGGCGACAUUCCACGUCGUCGGUGCCGCAGCUAACGCAUUAAGUUCCCGCCUGGGGAGUACGGCCGCAAGGCUAAAACUUAAAUAGAAUUGACGG